UUAACUUCAUUUUUGUCCAUCUUUCAUUCCGCUACAGCUCUUUGGGGUUUCUCUGUCCUCAUCUUCCUUACCUGCCCCUCCCAAUCAGCACACCUGGAUCUUCUUUCUUAUCACCUGUGCAGCUCGUAAACCUCCAGUUCUUCAGUCUUCCUUUGUUUUCUGCUCAUGUUGUCAGAGCAGCCUCCUUCUUGAUGCUAUAAACAUUUCAGUCCGGCUCUUCAGUCAGACCUCGUUUCUCCUCCUUUCUGUUGACUGAGCUGUAACUGACUCAUCACUCAACAUCCAAGUUUCUUUUUCUGGUUGUGAAUGAAAAAAGUUCUUAAUCCCUCGUAAAAUUAUCCUAACAUGAGGCUGACAGUUUGCUGCCCAUCAUCUGCUCCUCAGCUGACAUCAAACAUUUGUCAGACUGGAAAUCUUUUUUUUUUUUUCUUUAUGAAGGAAAACGUGUGACGCAUCAUUGGUUCCUGCUGUGAUCUGCCUCAGGAGAAAAAUUAUGCAACUACUCACAAAAUGUGACAGGAAGCAUGAAAAGCAUCCCAUCAACGACUUGUUCCAUUUUCUCCUGCAGUCAUGUAACAGUAUGAAGAACUUGAGCUAAAGCUCUGCAGACAGUUUCAGUGUGAAGCCAUCAACACAUCCUGGAAGAAGAAAAAAAGUUUAUUAGACGUCGUCCUUUUACACCAAACUGCUUUUACAGGCUUUUAUGAAACACACCAACACUGAGACUGGAAAGCAGCCAGAGGGUCUUCAACACAGCCAGGAUUUAAAAAAACCUGAACUGGUUCAGAUGCUUCUGCAUGAAAUCCACCGAUCGGCUGGCACCUCAUUCAGAGGACAAACAGCUUUUAUGAAUGAAUGCAAAACACAGCAUGGAUGAAUGUAAAAAUCUCCAUGUAUAAACCCUUUAAAAUAAAAUAACAUCUACUAUUUCA